rnacentral:lncRNA from 1 species
GGUGUUCACAAAAUAAAGAGGAGGCCUGAACAGCCAGGCUUGGAAGGCAGAGCCGCCUGAACGGACUUAAAGUUCCAGGCGCCUAAGCUGAUGGGCUCAGCCUCCCCGAAAUCGGGGCCUGAAAUGGGAUGAGUCAGGAAAGGGAAGGGGAGUGGAGAAAGGAGGAAAAGCUAAGGAUGCGAUCUCAGCUGGAGGCAGCUGCAGCCUGACCCACAGGGGCACUCUGGAGCACCAAGGAUCACAGAAUCACCCCAUCUGCAGCAAAGGCCCUGGGUGUGACCCGGCUGUCGGCCACCCUGGGGAGCGUGGGACAAAACCUUCUGAACUUGAAGGAUUUAACGGGAUAAAAUCAGGAAAGGGAUUAUUCUGGAAGCAUGCAAAUGAACAAGAUAUCACUUUUCAAGAUAGAACGGAAUGGGCGUCCAGGAAAAGUGACCCACAUAUGACCUCCUGAAUGCCGAUCAGGCUCUGGCCUCUCUCUGUGAUCAGCCCA